rnacentral:rRNA from 1 species
GGUUGAUCCUGCCAGUAGUCAUAUGCUUGUCUCAAAGAUUAAGCCAUGCAUGUCUAAGUAUAAACACUUUUAUACUGUGAAACUGCGUACAGCUCAUUAUAUCAGUUAUUAUUUAUUUGAUGGUUAACUUUCUACAUGGAUACCUGUAGUAAUUCUAGAGCUAAUACAUGCGUCAAGUUCUGAGCUUAACUGUUUAGAAUGUAUUUAUUAGAUAAAAAACCAAUCUGCUUCGGCAGUGUUCAUUGGUGAUUCAUAGUAACUUUUUCGAAUCGCGCGUCUUCGGACAGCGAUA